GCACGCAGCUUUCCCUCGGUCACCCAUCUCUAAUUGAAUAUUCAACGCGCGCACCGUGCCCUGCUUGCCUUUUUCAGGGAGCUAAGAAAAAGCCUUUUUAAUUCGGUGCCCAUACACAGGCACUGUCAAAGGUCUCCAAAUAAUGAACUGCGCAGACAUGGAGGAGACCUUUGCAGGAGCAGACGCUGGUGCGAAGCUGCACCCCCCAACAGUUCUCACAAGCAGCUGUGGACAAAAGUACAAAUUUCCUCCAGUAGUUUGGAGAUUAACACAAUAACACAUACACUGACCGAGGGGGGAAAUUCCAACACUCAACGUUUUCAUGACGGAGCUGCUGGAUGCCAAGGUAUGCAAAUGGUCAUGGAGCAGUCUCCCCGUGUAAUUCUCAGCUGCUUCCUCACCAUUCAAGAUCCUUUGUAUCUACCAGGUGAGAUGCUGAAUGGAGCUCCAGGUGGAGGGAGAUUGAUGUAUUUCUUCCAUUUUUUAAUAGUUGCUCCUGCAGUUGUUCUCUUCUUUUCAAGCUGUUUGCUUAUUGUAGAUUGGUUUAUUCCUCGUCUUGUACACGUGAACAAUCUGGAACCUGGUGUCAUUCGACAGCUCUUUGGUCAUGGUGGAAAAGUUGCAGUCUGACUUUUUAGGAGGGUGUGGACAGGAGUAUUGUCCACAUAUAACCAGUCAAACAGGUGACCUUAAUACAGGUACUGAGUGGAGGAUAGAAGAACUUCUAAAGAAGAAAUAACAAAACUAUGGGGAGCCGAAUUCUUGCUUGUUUGAAGGAGAUAAACAUUUUCUGCACUAUUAUACAAAUAUAUUUUUAAAUCAUGUGAUUUCCUUGAUUAUUUUUUUACAUCCUGUCUCUCACAGUUAAAGUGAUUCUACAAUGAACAUUACAG